rnacentral:rRNA from 1 species
GAGUUUGAUCCUGGCUCAGAGCGAACGCUGGCGGCAGGCUUAACACAUGCAAGUCGAGCGGGCGUAGCAAUACGUCAGCGGCAGACGGGUGAGUAACGCGUGGGAACGUACCUUUUGGUUCGGAACAACACAGGGAAACUUGUGCUAAUACCGGAUAAGCCCUUACGGGGAAAGAUUUAUCGCCGAAAGAUCGGCCCGCGUCUGAUUAGCUAGUUGGUGAGGUAACGGCUCACCAAGGCGACGAUCAGUAGCUGGUCUGAGAGGAUGAUCAGCCACAUUGGGACUGAGACACGGCCCAAACUCCUACGGGAGGCAGCAGUGGGGAAUAUUGGACAAUGGGCGCAAGCCUGAUCCAGCCAUGCCGCGUGAGUGAUGAAGGCCCUAGGGUUGUAAAGCUCUUUUGUGCGGGAAGAUAAUGACGGUACCGCAAGAAUAAGCCCCGGCUAACUUCGUGCCAGCAGCCGCGGUAAUACGAAGGGGGCUAGCGUUGCUCGGAAUCACUGGGCGUAAAGGGUGCGUAGGCGGGUCUUUAAGUCAGGGGUGAAAUCCUGGAGCUCAACUCCAGAACUGCCUUUGAUACUGAAGAUCUUGAGUUCGGGAGAGGUGAGUGGAACUGCGAGUGUAGAGGUGAAAUUCGUAGAUAUUCGCAAGAACACCAGUGGCGAAGGCGGCUCACUGGCCCGAUACUGACGCUGAGGCACGAAAGCGUGGGGAGCAAACAGGAUUAGAUACCCUGGUAGUCCACGCCG